rnacentral:rRNA from 1 species
AGUGAAUAGAUACCCGGGUAGUCCCAGCUGUAAACGAUGCGCGUUAGGUGUAUCGGUGACCACGAGUCACCGAGGUGCCGAAAGAGAAAUCGUGAAACGUGCCGCCUGGGAAGUACGGUCGCAAGGCUGAAACUUAAAGGAAUUGGCGGGGGAGCACCACAACAGGUGGAGCCUGCGGUUUAAUCGGACUCAACGCCGGGAAACUUACCAGAUAAGACAGCUGAAUGAUAGUCGGGCUGAAGACUCUACUUGACUAGCUGAGAGGAGGUGCAUGGCCGUCGUCAGUUCGUACUGUGAAGCAUCCUGUUAAGUCAGGCAACGAGCGAGACCCACGCCAACAGUUGCCAGCUCGUCCUCCGGGAUGGAGGGGACACUGUUGGGACCGCCUCUGCUAAAGAGGAGGAAGGAAUGGGCAACGGUAGGUCAGCAUGCCCCGAAUUAUCUGGGCUACACGCGGGCUACAAUGGGUGGGACAAUGGGUAUCGACACCGAAAGGUGAAGGCAAUCUCCUAAACCCAUCCUUAGUUCGGAUUGUGGGCU